UGAUGGGGUACAAACACUGGAUACCUGACCCUAUUGUGUGAUGGAACCCAAGGAGAGCCUGGGCAAGCGACCGUCGACUGCUAGCAUGAAGUUCAGAUGGCAGAUUCAGCAGAGCUGAUGGUUGAGAGUUCCAGACGGCAAAUGCAGCAGAUUUGGCUGGAGUGACCCUUCCUUGUGGUUCUAUCACCCAUUCGAGCACCAAUUUGUCGUUUUCCUUUUUUUAAUUGUUGCUGCCUUUUAAGCUAUGGCUAUCCUAUUCAGCAACUGCCACUUGGAUGCUACCAGCAGCAGCUAGGUCACAAGAGCUGAAGCCUGAGGGCAUUCUGUUCCCUUAGGCACUGACUCUUUCAAAGCUACUAAGGAAACUUAUUUAAAUCUCUGUCCCACUAAAGAACUCAAGAUUCAAAGGUUGAGGUAGAAUCCUGCUUCCCAGAGAGGCUGAAUAGGGAGCUACUCACCUAGCUUCCCUCCUCGAGUUAUUCAAGAAGUCCUUGUGCUCCCCCCCCCCACUUAUAAACCCUUCUCCACCUGGCUCCUCCCUAUAACUUCCUGUCAGCUAAUUGCUGACCCACUCUCCUGACUGCUGGUGAAUUCUAUUUAAUCAAACACAUCAUUAAAUGAAUGUUCCAAAGCAUAAACAAAAGUAACAUACCUUAAAAUAAUAUUCGACAAAGCAGCGCUGGGGCUGUAGCUCAGUGGGUAGAGUGCUUGCCAGCAUGCACAAAGCCUGGGGUUCCCUCUCCACUCCUCAGAUACCCAGAGUGGUGACAUGAUGUAGGCCUGUCAUCCCAGCCCUCAAGAGGUAGAGGCAAGAGAUAAACUGUUUGGCUACUCAGUAAAAUAGAGGUCAACCUGGGAUACAUGAGAUCCUGGCUCAGAUCAAACAGACAAAAACAACAAAACAUGAAUAAAGAAAAACGGAGAAUGUAUAGCCUCAUGAUGGCAAUGUGUAUAUCAUUGUAGUAUAUUCAGUAUAUUCAGAGAGGUAGAGGCAAGGGGAACACUGUAAAAGCAAAAGGAGAAUGAUUAUGUAAGUUAUUUUGCAUCAAUUAUCCUUGGAGAUAGUGAACAGUAACAAGAGUAGAGUCAGUCUGAGACAGUGCAAACAUUGUUCAACAGAUGUCC
rnacentral:lncRNA from 1 species